GGGGAAUCUUGGACAAUGGGCGCAAGCCUGAUCCAGCCAUGCCGCGUGAGUGAAGAAGGCCUUAGGGUUGUAAAACUCUUUCGCCGGAGAAGAUAAUGACGGUAUCCGGAGAAGAAGCCCCGGCUAACUUCGUGCCAGCAGCCGCGGUAAUACGAAGGGGGCUAGCGUUGUUCGGAAUUACUGGGCGUAAAGCGCACGUAGGCGGGUUUGUAAGUAGGGGGUGAAAUCCCAGGGCUCAACCCUGGAACUGCCUUCUAAACUGCAAGCCUGGAGGUCAGGAGAGGCGAGUGGAAUACCGAGUGUAGAGGUGAAAUUCGUAGAUAUUCGGUGGAACACCAGUGGCGAAGGCGACUCGCUGGACUGAUACUGACGCUGAGGUGCGAAAGCGUGGGGAGCAAAC
rnacentral:rRNA from 1 species